rnacentral:RNase_P_RNA from 1 species
CAGGCAGGCUGGAUGAUCGCGGCGCGGCUCGUUUGCGCUGAGGAAAGUCCGCUCUCCCCCGGGCCACGGUGCUGGCUAACAGCCAGGCGGGGCAACCCGACAGCAGAGUGCCACAGAGAAAUGUAUUGCCGGGCGCGCGAGCGUUCGGCGAGGGUGAAACGGCGGUGUAAGAGACCACCGGCGCACGCAGUGAUGCGGGCGGCCAGGCAAACCUCACCGGGAGCAAGGCGAACAGGCGCAUUGGAGCGGCCCACUCCGUAAAAAGCGCCGGGUAUGCUGCACGACGCGCGGAGUAAUCCGCGUGCCAGAGAGAUGAUCAUCACCCCCGCUUCGGCGGGGGCACAGAAAGCGGCUUACAGGCUCGCCUGAACG